rnacentral:lncRNA from 1 species
UAUUUCGUGGACCAAUGUACGAUCAGAGGGCGUGGGUUGAUUUUCAUUUCGAUCUAAUGGUCCGAAGGAAUUCCAAGUGCUCUAAGGAGUCCUUAAUCCUAAUCAAAUUGAUUUUUAAGGCCUUUAAAAGGCUUGAUGCGUGGAAGAACUUCGUGUGGUGCAGCAUUGAUUUGACAAGAGCAUAGGAAAACUAGAACCCACGUGAAGAAAGAGAGAGACGUGCGGCGCUG